rnacentral:lncRNA from 1 species
UUAGGUGGAUGCUCUGAUUGGCAUUCUUCUCCACCAUAAAGGAUUACAAGUGGAAAGAGCUCAUUACAAACCACAAUUUUGUCUGCAAACAUGUUCAAACCACUUCAGCGCAGCUCUUCAAGCAUGUAAGCAUGUUUGCACCAAAAAAUUCGGUAGCAUCUUUUUUUUUUGAAUCGUAUAUAGCCAAAUGCUCUUUCAGAAUGUCACUGAAACAUAGGGCAUACAUGGGUUAGAACAAAACAGAUGUUUUCUUAAUACCUUAGGAAGCAUAAUAUAUCCAUUUCAACUUUUCUUUCGAUUACCUGCAUCUGCAUGCUCAGUAUUCAACAUGUCUUCCCAAGCACUUUUACAUUUUGUCUAAUCUGUGCAUGUUGCUCCAUAGCUAGCUUCACCAUCAAAACAAUACAUAUAUAUUUUCAAAGACCAAAAGUGCAGGCAUUCAUGGUGUGGCCUUAUGAUCCAAGGGCAAUAUUAAUGUUAGAAAGGUAAUGAUACACUCUUGACUGAAUUUAAUAGCAGCACUGAUCUCUUGCAAAAAGAAAUAGAAUCACGCUAGUAAAUUAUAUGAAGAAUACUUGUCAUGAUUCACUUCCAAAUUAUUGUUGCAGAUAUUCUUUACAACUCCUCAAUUGAAAAUGUCACACAGGGUGAAGUAUCAUAUCAACUGUGACAAAAUCUAAGAUCCCUCUCUAUUUUCUGGCCUUAAUCUUUAUAGAAGUAUAAGAACUUACCCUAAAAUCAAUUUUGAUUGCUUCAUUUAUUUGUCAGCUUAUAAGACGUAUCGCAAACAAUGAGAAUAUUUUCCAGAAAAAAAUCUAAAAGCAUAUUGUAUUACUGGCCUCCUGUGCAUUCGACCAAAAAAAAAAACAGAGGCAAUCAUCUAUUCAUGUGCAGUACUGUGUACGGAUAAACAGAGCUACAGUACAGGGGUCUUAAGCAAUUCAUUGCCUGGACCAUUAGGGUGUGUUUAGUUCACGCUAAAAUUAGAAGUUUGUUUGAAAUUGGAACGAUGUGAUGGAAAAGUUUGAAGUUUGUGUGUGUAGGAAAGUUUUGAUGUGAUGGAAAAGUUUGAAGUUUAAAGAAAACUUUUGCAACUAAACACGGCUAAAGAACCAACCUGGUGAAGCAAACAACCGGCGACGCAAGAUUGCCAAUUUCCUUUUCCUCCGAAUGACCAAAGACUGGUACGAAGGACCAGAAUUGAACGAGGUAGCUAAAAAAAAAGGUAACAUGAUCAAACUUUCCAAAAGCAAAGGACAAAGACAAAUUCAAAUCUAAUAGGCAUCGACAAGCACAGCACGCUAGUCAUACGAUAAACAACUGGAAACGAGAGAAGUGACGUUUACAUUUCGGGCAAAAGGGGAGUAAAAAUGAAUAUAGUAACGAAGGAAAAGGCAAUUACCGGUUGAUCGUGUUGAUUCACAUGCUGGCCGUGAGGAAGAACUCCUACCACGAAGGAUUGCGGCACGAUGAGCUCUAGCAGAUGAUGCAGACGGCAUAAACCAAUACGACCAAGUAAGUAUACCCAGUGCCUAAUAAGAUUUCACAAGUAAGAACAUGGAUAUCAUAAUUUUACAGAAACAAGGAGGCGUAUGAUCAUUAUAACAUUAACACAGUAUAAAUAAAAGAACAGGGCAAGCGUCGGGAGGGAAAAAAAGGAACAAAGAAGAAACAAAUAACGAACCGGUCGUAGAAAGGAAAACAAAAGAGCUAGCACUGAUGCACAGAGUAACCAUAUAAAGGGGAGGGGCAAGAAGGCACAGCAAGCAAGGGCAUGGACACACAUACAACAAACAAUAGACAUGCAAGCCGACACCUACACCAAUAAACAGUGAAUUAACUCGCCAGCACAACCUGUGAGAACAGUAAAUACCACAGGAGGUCGACACGCACAUGAAUCACCCCCAGUAAAUACCCCGCCUUCAAAGAAGACAACGCACGCAGCAACGAAUCAGCCCACAGUCAGGACAACCGGACAGCAAGGUCGAUAAGAAACAUCAGCUCAAUCAACAAAAAAGGCAGGGUAAUGACAACCGCAUAAAUACAUACGGUAGCACUAAUAACAAAUUAAGACCACUUGACAAAUACACUUGAAAAGUUACCAGCCAUCACAGCAACCUACAUCACCAAGAGAGGGGGGGGGGGAUGCCGCUUACAAACGGGAAUUGGGCAGGUCCCAUAAAUAUGACCAUAGUGUGUUGACCCAUAGUUAUUUUUACCCCUUCCGAACAAUGGUACCCUUUUUACUAACUAUGUAAAACUGUAACACUGCAACAAUGUUUAAAAAAUAAAAUAAAAUAUCGCACACAACAACAAAGAGGGCAAUUUCUCCUACACAGGGGCCUCAUGAAAAGGGAAAUUUUUUACAAGACCCAACACAUGGAAAGGGUAAGCAAGGCGCAUUGGGAAAAUUUGCAAGCACAAAAUACAUGUAGGGAAAAAGUAAACAGCAAAAAAUUGAGAAAAGGGCUAAAACCUGCAUACCGUUUUGCUUGCUACCACCAAAUACAAGAACAAGUCAAUUUACAUGCAGACCCAUAGAAGAAUCGCCAGAAAAAAGAACAAGAAAUCGGCAAGGAGCACUGUGCAGAGCCUAGAAACCGACUACGACAAUCAGCGGGAAUAGAACAAUACCUCACCAAGAACCAUGAGCUGAGCCAUUAUAAGGAAAGUAGGAACGCCGACAUGCCAAGAACUCAGAUCAGGCUGGGCGGGCGAUGGCGACGGUUAGGU